rnacentral:rRNA from 1 species
UACAGAGGUCUCGAGCGUUGUUCGGAUUCAUUGGGCGUAAAGGGUGCGUAGGCGGCGUGGCAAGUCUGAUGUGAAAUCCCGGGGCUCAACCCCGGAACUGCAUUGGAUACUGCCAUGCUAGAGUACUGGAGAGGAGAUUGGAAUUUACGGUGUAGCAGUGAAAUGCGUAGAUAUCGUAAGGAAGACCAGUGGCGAAGGCGAAUCUCUGGACAGUUCUGACGCUGAGGCACGAAGGCCAGGGGAGCAAACGGG